rnacentral:rRNA from 1 species
UUAAACUGAAGAGUUUGAUCAUGGCUCAGAUUGAACGCUGGCGGCAGGCCUAACACAUGCAAGUCGAGCGGUAACAGAUCUAGCUUGCUAGAUGCUGACGAGCGGCGGACGGGUGAGUAAUGCAUAGGAAUCUGCCCGGUAGUGGGGGAUAACCUGGGGAAACCCAGGCUAAUACCGCAUACGUCCUACGGGAGAAAGGGGGCUCCGGCUCCCGCUAUUGGAUGAGC